CCCUUAGAUGUUCUGGGCUGCACGCGCGCUACACUGAUGCGCUCAACGAGUUUUAACCUUGCCUGGAAAGGUUGGGUAAUCUUUUUAAAACGCAUCGUGAUGGGGAUAGAUUAUUGCAAUUAUUAAUCUUCAACGAGGAAUUCCUAGUAAGCGCGAGUCAUCAGCUCGCGUUGAUUACGUCCCUGCCCUUUGUACACACCGCCCGUCGCUACUACCGAUUGGAUGGUUUAGUGAGACCCUCGGAUCGGUCCCGACUCGGGGUGGGCUUCUGCCCCGGUCGUGGUUUCGCCGAGAAGACGGUCAAACUUGACUAUCUAGAGGAAGUAAAAGUCGUAACA
rnacentral:rRNA from 1 species